rnacentral:rRNA from 1 species
GGUUAAGCGACUAAGCGUACACGGUGGAUGCCCUGGCAGUCAGAGGCGAUGAAGGGCGUGCUAAUCUGCGAUAAGCGCCGGUAAGGUGAUAUGAACCGUUAUAACCGGCGAUACCCGAAUGGGGAAACCCAGUGUGACUCGUCACACUAUCAUUAACUGAAUCCAUAGGUUAAUGAGGCGAACCGGGGGAACUGAAACAUCUAAGUACCCCGAGGAAAAGAAAUCAACCGAGAUUCCCCCAGUAGCGGCGAGCGAACGGGGAGGAGCCCAGAGCCUGAAUCAGCAUGUGUGUUAGUGGAAGCGUCUGGAAAGUCGCGCGAUACAGGGUGACAGCCCCGUACACAAAAGCGCAUGUGUUGUGAGCUCGAUGAGUAGGGCGGGACACGUGGUAUCCUGUCUGAAUAUGGGGGGACCAUCCUCCAAGGCUAAAUACUCCUGACUGACCGAUAGUGAACCAGUACCGUGAGGGAAAGGCGAAAAGAACCCCGGCGAGGGGAGUGAAAAAGAACCUGAAACCGUGUACGUACAAGCAGUGGGAGCCCCACCACCAAAGCAUUCUCUGGUGUUGAAGGCCCUGCAAAGCAGCAUCGCGGUGGCGGAGCGUCGUUUGCGACGCCCAACACAAAAAACAAGCGGUGAGUGCUUUGGGGUGGGGUGACUGCGUACCUUUUGUAUAAUGGGUCAGCGACUUAUAUUCUGUAGCAAGGUUAACCGAAUAGGGGAGCCGUAGGGAAACCGAGUCUUAACUGGGCGUUAAGUUGCAGGGUAUAGACCCGAAACCCGGUGAUCUAGCCAUGGGCAGGUUGAAGGUUGGGUAACACUAACUGGAGGACCGAACCGACUAAUGUUGAAAAAUUAGCGGAUGACCUGUGGCUGGGGGUGAAAGGCCAAUCAAACCGGGAGAUAGCUGGUUCUCCCCGAAAGCUAUUUAGGUAGCGCCUCGUGAAUUCAUCUCCGGGGGUAGAGCACUGUUUCGGCUAGGGGGCCAUCCCGGCUUACCAACCCGAUGCAAACUGCGAAUACCGGAGAAUGUUAUCACGGGAGACACACGGCGGGUGCUAACGUCCGUCGUGAAGAGGGAAACAACCCAGACCGCCAGCUAAGGUCCCAAAGUCAUGGUUAAGUGGGAAACGAUGUGGGAAGGCCCAGACAGCCAGGAUGUUGGCUUAGAAGCAGCCAUCAUUUAAAGAAAGCGUAAUAGCUCACUGGUCGAGUCGGCCUGCGCGGAAGAUGUAACGGGGCUAAACCAUGCACCGAAGCUGCGGCAGCGACGCUGAUGCGUUGUUGGGUAGGGGAGCGUUCUGUAAGCCUGCGAAGGUGGCCUGUGAGGGUUGCUGGAGGUAUCAGAAGUGCGAAUGCUGACAUAAGUAACGAUAAAGCGGGUGAAAAGCCCGCUCGCCGGAAGACCAAGGGUUCCUGUCCAACGUUAAUCGGGGCAGGGUGAGUCGACCCCUAAGGCGAGGCCGAAAGGCGUAGUCGAUGGGAAACGGGUUAAUAUUCCCGUACUUGGUGUUACUGCGAAGGGGGGACGGAGAAGGCUAUGUUGGCCGGGCGACGGUUGUCCCGGUUUAAGCGUGUAGGUGUGUGUUCCAGGUAAAUCCGGUUCACUUUAACACUGAGGCGUGACGACGAGGCACUACGGUGCUGAAGCAACAAAUGCCCUGCUUCCAGGAAAAGCCUCUAAGCAUCAGGUAACAUCAAAUCGUACCCCAAACCGACACAGGUGGUCAGGUAGAGAAUACCAAGGCGCUUGAGAGAACUCGGGUGAAGGAACUAGGCAAAAUGGUGCCGUAACUUCGGGAGAAGGCACGCUGACACGUAGGUGAAGUGAUUUACUCAUGGAGCUGAAGUCAGUCGAAGAUACCAGCUGGCUGCAACUGUUUAUUAAAAACACAGCACUGUGCAAACACGAAAGUGGACGUAUACGGUGUGACGCCUGCCCGGUGCCGGAAGGUUAAUUGAUGGGGUCAGCGCAAGCGAAGCUCCUGAUCGAAGCCCCGGUAAACGGCGGCCGUAACUAUAACGGUCCUAAGGUAGCGAAAUUCCUUGUCGGGUAAGUUCCGACCUGCACGAAUGGCGUAAUGAUGGCCAGGCUGUCUCCACCCGAGACUCAGUGAAAUUGAACUCGCUGUGAAGAUGCAGUGUACCCGCGGCAAGACGGAAAGACCCCGUGAACCUUUACUAUAGCUUGACACUGAACAUUGAGCCUUGAUGUGUAGGAUAGGUGGGAGGCUUUGAAGUGUGGACGCCAGUCUGCAUGGAGCCGACCUUGAAAUACCACCCUUUAAUGUUUGAUGUUCUAACGUGGACCCGUUACCCGGGUUGCGGACAGUGUCUGGUGGGUAGUUUGACUGGGGCGGUCUCCUCCUAAAGAGUAACGGAGGAGCACGAAGGUUGGCUAAUCCUGGUCGGACAUCAGGAGGUUAGUGCAAUGGCAUAAGCCAGCUUGACUGCGAGCGUGACGGCGCGAGCAGGUGCGAAAGCAGGUCAUAGUGAUCCGGUGGUUCUGAAUGGAAGGGCCAUCGCUCAACGGAUAAAAGGUACUCCGGGGAUAACAGGCUGAUACCGCCCAAGAGUUCAUAUCGACGGCGGUGUUUGGCACCUCGAUGUCGGCUCAUCACAUCCUGGGGCUGAAGUAGGUCCCAAGGGUAUGGCUGUUCGCCAUUUAAAGUGGUACGCGAGCUGGGUUUAGAACGUCGUGAGACAGUUCGGUCCCUAUCUGCCGUGGGCGCUGGAGAACUGAGGGGGGCUGCUCCUAGUACGAGAGGACCGGAGUGGACGCAUCACUGGUGUUCGGGUUGUCAUGCCAAUGGCACUGCCCGGUAGCUAAAUGCGGAAGAGAUAAGUGCUGAAAGCAUCUAAGCACGAAACUUGCCCCGAGAUGAGUUCUCCCUGAGACUUAGAGUCUCCUGAAGGAACGUUGAAGACGACGACGUUGAUAGGCCGGGUGUGUAAGCGCAGCGAUGCGUUGAGCUAACCGGUACUAAUGAACCGUGAGGCUUAACCUU